CUCUUUAAGGCGGAGCCCGGCGUGGAUCUCGCGAGAUCCGGCUUGGCGCCGUGACCUCCAUGUGGGAGCUCCAGCUCUAUAAGUAAACACUCUGCGCGGCGCAGACAUGGCCUCUUCCUAUCUUUGAGGCGGUGUCUGCGGCAGCGCCUCAGAGUGGUUCAGGUCGUCUCUCCUCAAGUCGGCUAGUCGGGCGCGCGGGCUGAGAGUCGUCGCCGCCUGUCGGGCCCGGCGUCCGGUCGGUCCAGUGGGCGCGCUCGCCCGCCUGCCGCUGAGGGCCCGAGCCGCAGGGAAAGCGGCGCGGGCCGGGCGGGGCGCGGCGCCCAGAGCUCAGGGGGAGACAAAGGGGACCGGUUCCUCUCUAGGCGCCAAGAUGUGGAUACAGGUUCGCACCAUUGAUGGCUCCAAGACGUGCACCAUUGAGGACGUGUCUCGCAAAGCCACGAUUGAGGAGCUGCGCGAGCGGGUGUGGGCGCUGUUCGACGUGCGGCCCGAAUGCCAGCGCCUCUUCUACCGGGGCAAGCAGUUGGAAAAUGGAUAUACCUUAUUUGAUUAUGAUGUUGGACUGAAUGAUAUAAUUCAGCUGCUAGUUCGCCCAGACCCUGAUCAUCUUCCUGGCACAUCUACACAGAUUGAGGCUAAACCCUGUUCUAAUAGUCCACCUAAAGUAAAGAAAGCUCCGAGGGUAGGACCUUCCAAUCAGCCAUCUACAUCAGCUCGUGCCCGUCUUAUUGAUCCUGGCUUUGGAAUAUAUAAGGUAAAUGAAUUGGUGGAUGCCAGAGAUGUCGGCCUUGGUGCUUGGUUUGAAGCACACAUACAUAGUGUUACUAGAGCUUCUGAUGGACAGUCACGUGGCAAAACUCCACUGAAGAAUGGCAGUUCUUGUAAAAGGACUAAUGGAAAUAUAAAGCAUAAAUCCAAAGAGAACACAAAUAAAUUGGACAGUGUACCCUCUACGUCUAAUUCAGACUGUGUUGCUGCUGAUGAAGACGUUAUUUACCAUAUCCAGUAUGAUGAAUACCCAGAAAGCGGUACUCUAGAAAUGAAUGUCAAGGAUCUUAGACCACGAGCUAGAACCAUUUUGAAAUGGAAUGAACUAAAUGUUGGUGAUGUGGUAAUGGUUAAUUAUAAUGUAGAAAGUCCUGGACAAAGAGGAUUCUGGUUUGAUGCAGAAAUUACCACAUUGAAGACAAUCUCAAGGACCAAAAAAGAACUUCGUGUGAAAAUUUUCCUGGGGGGUUCUGAAGGAACAUUAAAUGACUGCAAGAUAAUAUCUGUAGAUGAAAUCUUCAAGAUUGAGAGACCUGGAGCCCAUCCUCUUUCAUUUGCAGAUGGAAAGUUUUUAAGGCGAAAUGACCCUGAAUGUGACCUGUGUGGUGGAGACCCAGAAAAGAAAUGUCAUUCUUGCUCCUGUCGUGUAUGUGGUGGGAAACAUGAACCCAACAUGCAGCUUCUAUGUGAUGAAUGUAAUGUGGCUUAUCAUAUUUACUGUCUGAAUCCACCUUUGGAUAAAGUCCCAGAAGAGGAAUACUGGUAUUGUCCUUCUUGUAAAACUGAUUCCAAUGAAGUUGUAAAGGCUGGUGAAAGACUCAAGAUGAGUAAAAAGAAAGCAAAGAUGCCAUCAGCUAGUACUGAAAGCCGAAGAGACUGGGGCAGGGGAAUGGCUUGUGUUGGUCGUACGAGAGAAUGUACUAUUGUCCCUUCUAAUCAUUAUGGACCCAUUCCUGGUAUUCCUGUUGGAUCAACUUGGAGAUUUAGAGUUCAGGUGAGCGAAGCAGGUGUUCACAGACCCCAUGUUGGUGGAAUUCAUGGUCGAAGUAAUGAUGGGGCUUAUUCUCUUGUACUGGCUGGUGGAUUUGCGGAUGAAGUCGACCGAGGUGAUGAGUUCACAUACACUGGAAGCGGUGGUAAAAAUCUUGCUGGUAACAAAAGAAUUGGCGCACCUUCAGCUGAUCAAACAUUAACAAACAUGAACAGGGCAUUGGCCCUAAACUGUGAUGCUCCAUUGGAUGAUAAAAUUGGAGCAGAGUCUCGGAAUUGGAGAGCUGGUAAGCCAGUCAGAGUGAUACGCAGUUUUAAAGGGAGGAAGAUCAGCAAAUAUGCUCCUGAAGAAGGCAACAGAUAUGAUGGCAUUUAUAAGGUGGUGAAAUACUGGCCAGAGAUUUCAUCAAGCCAUGGAUUCUUGGUUUGGCGCUAUCUUUUAAGAAGAGAUGAUGUUGAACCUGCUCCUUGGACCUCUGAAGGAAUAGAACGGUCAAGGAGAUUAUGUCUACGUUUACAGUAUCCAGCAGGUUACCCUUCAGACAAAGAAGGGAAGAAGCCUAAAGGACAGUCAAAGAAGCAGCCCAGUGGAACCACAAAAAGGCCAAUUUCAGAUGUUCUGCUUAGAACCACUUGUAAGUCUGCUGAUACAUUUUUAAAAUAAAUCUAGAUGACUGUCCAAGUGCCUCCAAAGUGUACAAAGCAUCAGAUUCAGCAGAAGCAAUUGAGGCUUUUCAACUAACUCCUCAACAGCAGCAUCUCAUCAGAGAAGAUUGUCAAAACCAGAAGCUGUGGGAUGAAGUGCUUGCACAUCUUGUGGAAGGACCAAAUUUUCUGAAAAAAUUGGAACAAUCUUUUAUGUGCGUUUGCUGUCAGGAGCUAGUUUACCAGCCUGUGACAACUGAGUGCUUCCACAAUGUCUGUAAAGAUUGCCUACAGCGCUCUUUUAAGGCACAGGUUUUCUCCUGCCCUGCUUGCCGGCAUGAUCUUGGCCAGAAUUACAUCAUGAUUCCCAAUGAGAUUCUGCAGACUCUACUUGACCUUUUCUUCCCUGGCUACAGCAAAGGACGAUGAUCUGCCUGCUUUCACUGUGUUGUUCAUGGUGGCUUUUUGGACAAUAAAGAAUCUAAAAUGGGUGGGGAGGGUGGAAGAAAUGGUGGACUGUAUCUCUCACGUUCUGAAGCAGCUAAUCCUCUUUCCCACAUAGCCAUCAUCUUGUGUGUGUAGUAAGAGGCCCAUUUCUCAACUGUCUUUUAAAUAUCUAAAGGUAGUUCCUGUAACAACUAGUUUUAAUGAGUAAAAAGUCAAAGCCUCAGCUCUAGUUGAUAUCCAAGUUAUGAUUUAUUUUGCAACUACCUCAGGACAGAAAAGAUUUAUGGGGAUUUUAAAAAUCAUUGAAUAACUAGUUAAAUGAAAUUUUAGCUACACACUGCCUCCCAAAUAUUAGUUGUGCCUGGUUCUUGUAAUUUGAUUUUACAGAAAAGGAAAUGACACUUGAGAUCCUUGGAAUGAACACAGCUUCUAAAGUGUGCAUAUACUUUUUUAACGUCUCUUCUUCCAUUACAAUGUGUGUUUGCAAGGACAGGUUCAUUUUUUUUAGCCCACUUUGUGAACUCCAUUGUGCUUUUUUCUGGUGUUUUAUGCAAGUUGACUACUAAUGACUAAUGAGAACAAUAAUGAAUGCAUUGUUGCUGCAUUAGUGUAAUGUGGUGUGGUUUUGCACUUAAAAGAGGUAUUCAUAUGCUCUAGUUGUAAAUGUUCAUGAAAAUCCACUUCUGUACUAGUCGAACUGCUUUUAGUGUCUCACCAGUGGUUUUACAUCUGCAGAGUUUUGAGGGCUGUGCUGACCUUUGAGAGGAUUUGAAAUUGCUUCAUAUUGUGAUCCUAAAUUUUAUAUUCACUAUAUUCCCUAAAGUAUACCUUAAUAAAUAUUUUAUGAUCAGAA